AUACGUUAGUCGGGGAGCCGUAAGGCUGAGACCACAGAGUGGGACCCGUUGAACCUGAUCCAGUUAAUACUGGCGUAGGGAACUAGCAGCAUUGCCCG
rnacentral:ncRNA from 1 species